rnacentral:lncRNA from 1 species
GCAUUUUGCCAUAGUCCCUAAUUUCCAUUCCCGAGUCCUCUCCUCUCGAGUCUCGACUCUCAGUUUCGCUCUCACCUCUCUCCGACUCUAUCUCAGUAUCUCACAUCACAUCCUCUCCGCCUCUCUCCGUCUUAGUCUCCGCCUCUCAGCCUCUCAUGGCCUUACCCUUCAUUCGGCCUUAGCAAAUCGCAGCCUCCGCGUCUCGGUGGGUAUUCGACAGUUCUCUUGUAAACUAUUUGGUACUAAAAGUUUUAACCUCUGUUUUUUUGUCUCUAGCUUCGAUUUAGUACUAAUAUAUUUAUGUUGAUUUUGAUUAAAUGUUUAAUUGUUAGACUAAGAUUAGUUUUUUCAAGUUUUCUAUUGUUUGUGGACAUAUGAAGUUAAAAGCCUAAUAUAUUUGUUUUUCCUUCCUGAAAAUCAAUUUGGAUGGUGGUAACAUGAUAACAUCUAUCACCUGAAACUAUAACCUUGAUUCCUUGAAUUGAGACUUUCCUUUGUCAAUAUGUGAAUUUGUUUAUCAAGAUGACCCAAGUACCCAACUGUUCUGCUAUGGGAUAUUUUAACAAUUAGCCUUAUAUAAGUGCUUACUUGUGUGAUAUUCUAGCUUUUGAUGUUAAGAUUUCAGUAAAUCAAUUUGGGGUUUUUGGUUCUAUUUCCAUAGAUGUUCAGAAAAGUCUUAGCUUCCCCCUAAUGCGGAAUUAAAGAGACAAAUUUGGAACUACACUUGCAAGAAUUUGUACAAUUUAAUACACAGAAGAAUCUUAGAAAUGAUCUUAGAUUGUGAUGAAUUGCAACAUAGGAUCUUAUUAUAACUGGCCUCAGAUUCUUUAUGGCUUUGUACAUUACUUUGAGCCAAGUUUUUUUAUAACUUUUGGCUUUGUGAACUUAUUGGGAUAUCUAAGAUGAUACAUACACUGACUCAAUGGAUAAAUGAUUUAUUUAUGCAGUUACGGGGAUUUCUCUUGCUUGCUUGUGUUGCAUGUAGUUGUUGCUCGUUGUUGUUGCUGUUCAUGUUGUUGUUACAAUGAUCUUUAAUUUUGCUUGUUCAUGUUACUGUUGCACUGCUGGCUGCUUGCUGCUAGCUGCUGAAAAGCCUGCAAUUUGUUGCUCAUGUUCAUGUUGCUGCUAGUUGUUGUUGCAUGUUGGAUGUUGCUAGAUUAUAAUUAGACUUUGUUAAGUCAUAAAUUUUGUGAAGGACAGUUAAUUUGCUGCUGCACUGCUGUUGUAUUGUUAAUUUUAAACAAUUAAACUUUGUGAAGGACAGUUAAGGUUAUGAAUUGUCUACUGUCUAGUAUUGCCAAUUUUAAAAGGUUCUUAUUUUGAUUGAUAAAUGAUAACAUGGAGCACAGGUUUGAUUAUUACUCGAAUAUCCGAAUGUACAAUUCAGUAUUCGGUAAUUCGGUUAGUGAC